rnacentral:rRNA from 1 species
GCGGACGGGUGAGUAACGUGUGGGCAACCUGCCCUGCACUGGGGAAUAAUCAUUGGAAACGAUGACUAAUACCGCAUACGGUUCCUGGGAGGCAUCUUCCGGGAAAGAAAGGAUUUAUUCGGUGCAGGAUGGGCCCGCAUCUGAUUAGCUAGUUGGUGAGAUAACAGCCCACCAAGGCGACGAUCAGUAGCCGACCUGAGAGGGUGACCGGCCACAUUGGGACUGAGACACGGCCCAAACUCCUACGGGAGGCAGCAGUGGGGAAUAUUGCACAAUGGGCGAAAGCCUGAUGCAGCAACGCCGCGUGAAGGAAGAAGGGUUUCGGCUCGUAAACUUCUAUCAACAGGGACGAAAGAAAUGACGGUACCUGAAUAAGAAGCCCCGGCUAACUACGUGCCAGCAGCCGCGGUAAUACGUAGGGGGCAAGCGUUAUCCGGAAUUACUGGGUGUAAAGGGUGAGUAGGCGGCAUGGUAAGCCAGAUGUGAAAGCCUUGGGCUUAACCCGAGGAUUGCAUUUGGAACUAUCAAGCUAGAGUACAGGAGAGGAAAGCGGAAUUCCUAGUGUAGCGGUGAAAUGCGUAGAUAUUAGGAAGAACACCAGUGGCGAAGGCGGCUUUCUGGACUGAAACUGACGCUGAGGCACGAAAGCGUGGGGAGCGAACAUGAUUAGAUACCCUGGUAGUCCACG